rnacentral:rRNA from 1 species
CAGGCUUAACACAUGCAAGUCGAGGGGCAUCAGGAAGAAAGCUUGCUUUCUUUGCUGGCGACCGGCGCACGGGUGAGUAACACGUAUCCAACCUGCCCUUUACUCGGGGAUAGCCUUUCGAAAGAAAGAUUAAUACCCGAUAGCAUAAUGAUUCCGCAUGGUUUCAUUAUUAAAGGAUUCCGGUAAAGGAUGGGGAUGCGUUCCAUUAGGUUGUUGGUGAGGUAACGGCCCACCAAGCCUUCGAUGGAUAGGGGUUCUGAGAGGAAGGUCCCCCACAUUGGAACUGAGACACGGUCCAAACUCCUACGGGAGGCAGCAGUGAGGAAUAUUGGUCAAUGGGCGCUAGCCUGAACCAGCCAAGUAGCGUGAAGGAUGAAGGCUCUAUGGGUCGUAAACUUCUUUUAUAUAAGAAUAAAGUGCAGUAUGUAUACUGUUUUGUAUGUAUUAUAUGAAUAAGGAUCGGCUAACUCCGUGCCAGCAGCCGCGGUAAUACGGAGGAUCCGAGCGUUAUCCGGAUUUAUUGGGUUUAAAGGGAGCGUAGGUGGACUGGUAAGUCAGUUGUGAAAGUUUGCGGCUCAACCGUAAAAUUGCAGUUGAUACUGUCAGUCUUGAGUACAGUAGAGGUGGGCGGAAUUCGUGGUGUAGCGGUGAAAUGCUUAGAUAUCACGAAGAACUCCGAUUGCGAAGGCAGCUCACUGGACUGCAACUGACACUGAUGCUCGAAAGUGUGGGUAUCAAACAGGAUUAGAUACCCUGGUAGUCCACACAGUAAACGAUGAAUACUCGCUGUUUGCGAUAUACAGUAAGCGGCCAAGCGAAAGCAUUAAGUAUUCCACCUGGGGAGUACGCCGGCAACGGUGAAACUCAAAGGAAUUGACGGGGGCCCGCACAAGCGGAGGAACAUGUGGUUUAAUUCGAUGAUACGCGAGGAACCUUACCCGGGCUUAAAUUGCAGUGGAAUGAUGUGGAAACAUGUCAGUGAGCAAUCACCGCUGUGAAGGUGCUGCAUGGUUGUCGUCAGCUCGUGCCGUGAGGUGUCGGCUUAAGUGCCAUAACGAGCGCAACCCUUAUCUUUAGUUACUAACAGGUUAUGCUGAGGACUCUAGAGAGACUGCCGUCGUAAGAUGUGAGGAAGGUGGGGAUGACGUCAAAUCAGCACGGCCCUUACGUCCGGGGCUACACACGUGUUACAAUGGGGGGGUACAGAAGGCAGCUAGCGGGUGACCGUAUGCUAAUCCCAAAAUCCUCUCUCAGUUCGGAUCGAAGUCUGCAACCCGACUUCGUGAAGCUGGAUUCGCUAGUAAUCGCGCAUCAGCCACGGCGCGGUGAAUACGUUCCCGGGCCUUGUACACACCGCCCGUCAAGCCAUGGGAGCCGGGGGUACCUGAAGUACGUAACCGCAAGGAUCGUCCUAGGGUAAAACUGGUGACUGGGGCUAAGUCAUAACA